UUGUAAUUUGUAGAGGAUGUUUCGGGUGAAGCCACGGUCCAAGUCCCUUGGAACAGGACGUCAUAGAGGGUGAGAACCCCGUACCUGGCCGUCGGUGCCCCCCGCUGUGAAACUCCUUCGACGAGUCGAGUUGUUUGGGAAUGCAGCUCUAAAUUGGUGGUAAAUUCCAUCUAAAGCUAAAUACCGGCCAGAGACCGAUAGCGCACAAGUAGAGUGAUCGAAAGAUGAAAAGCACUUUGAAAAGAGAGUUAAAAAGUACGUGAAAUUGUUGAAAGGGAAGCGCUUGCGGCCAGACUUGCCCGCGGUUGCUCAGCCCGCCUUUUGGCGGGUGCACUCUUCCGCGGUCAGGCCAGCAUCGGUUUGGGCGGUCGGAUAAAGGCGUUGGGAACGUGGCCUCCCCUCGGGGAGGUGUUAUAGCCCGGCGCGCAAUGCGACCAGCCCGGACCGAGGUUCGCGCUUUGCUAGGAUGCUGGCGUAAUGGCCGUAAGCGGCCCGUCUUGAAACACGGACCAAGGAGUCUAACAUCUAUGCGAGUGUUUGGGUGUCAAACCCGUGCGCGUAAUGAAAGUGAACGGAGGUGGGAACCGCAAGGUGCACCAUCGACCGAUCCUGAUGUCUUCGGAAGGAUUUGAGUAAGAGCAUAGCUGUUGGGACCCGAAAGAUGGUGAACUAUGCGUGAAUAGGGUGAAGCCAGAGGAAACUCUGGUGGAGGCUCGCAGCGGUUCUGACGUGCAAAUCGAUCGUCAA
rnacentral:rRNA from 1 species